rnacentral:rRNA from 1 species
GGUGCAUGGUUGUCGUCAGCUCGUGUCGUGAGAUGUUGGGUUAAGUCCCGCAACGAGCGCAACCCUCGCCUCUAGUUGCCAGCAUUCGGUUGGGCACUCUAGAGGGACUGCCGGCGACAAGUCGGAGGAAGGUGGGGAUGACGUCAAAUCAUCAUGCCCCUUAUGACCUGGGCUACACACGUGCUACAAUGGGCGGUACAAAGGGCUGCGAACCCGCGAGGGGGAGCGAAUCCCAAAAAGCCGCUCUCAGUUCGGAUUGCAGGCUGCAACUCGCCUGCAUGAAGCCGGAAUCGCUAGUAAUCGCGGAUCAGCAUGCCGCGGUGAAUACGUUCCCGGGCCUU